rnacentral:rRNA from 1 species
GAUGAACGCUGGCGGCGUGCCUAAUACAUGCAAGUCGAGCGAACGGACGAGAAGCUUGCUUCUCUGAUGUUAGCGGCGGACGGGUGAGUAACACGUGGAUAACCUACCUAUAAGACUGGGAUAACUUCGGGAAACCGGAGCUAAUACCGGAUAAUAUUUUGAACCGCAUGGUUCAAAAGUGAAAGACGGUCUUGCUGUCACUUAUAGAUGGAUCCCCGCUGCAUUAGCUAGUUGGUAAGGUAGCGGCUUACCAAGGCAACGAUGCAUAGCCGACCUGAGAGGGUGAUCGGCCACACUGGAACUGAGACACGGUCCAGACUCCUACGGGAGGCAGCAGUAGGGAAUCUUCCGCAAUGGGCGAAAGCCUGACGGAGCAACGCCGCGUGAGUGAUGAAGGUCUUCGGAUCGUAAAACUCUGUUAUUAGGGAAGAACAUAUGUGUAAGUAACUGUGCACAUCUUGACGGUACCUAAUCAGAAAGCCACGGCUAACUACGUG